rnacentral:rRNA from 1 species
ACGUAGGGCGCAAGCGUUGUCCGGAAUUAUUGGGCGUAAAGAGCUCGUAGGCGGUCUGUCGCGUCUGGUGUGAAAUCCCGAGGCUCAACCUCGGGCUUGCAUCGGGUACGGGCAGACUAGAGUGCGGUAGGGGAGACUGGAAUUCCUGGUGUAGCGGUGGAAUGCGCAGAUAUCAGGAGGAACACCGAUGGCGAAGGCAGGUCUCUGGGCCGCAACUGACGCUGAGGAGCGAAAGCAUGGGGAGCGAACAGG